AUGAACUUAGCUUGCUAAGUUUGAUGGCGACCGGCGCACGGGUGAGUAACACGUAUCCAACCUGCCGAUGACUCGGGGAUAGCCUUUCGAAAGAAAGAUUAAUACCCGAUGGCAUAGUUCUUCCGCAUGGUAGAACUAUUAAAGAAUUUCGGUCAUCGAUGGGGAUGCGUUCCAUUAGGUCGUUGGCGGGGUAACGGCCCACCAAGCCUUCGAUGGAUAGGGGUUCUGAGAGGAAGGUCCCCCACAUUGGAACUGAGACACGGUCCAAACUCCUACGGGAGGCAGCAGUGAGGAAUAUUGGUCAAUGGACGAGAGUCUGAACCAGCCAAGUAGCGUGAAGGAUGACUGCCCUAUGGGUUGUAAACUUCUUUUAUACGGGAAUAAAGUGAGGCACGUGUGCCUUUUUGUAUGUACCGUAUGAAUAAGGAUCGGCUAACUCCGUGCCAGCAGCCGCGGUAAUACGGAGGAUCCGAGCGUUAUCCGGAUUUAUUGGGUUUAAAGGGAGCGUAGGCGGACGCUUAAGUCAGUUGUGAAAGUUUGCGGCUCAACCGUAAAAUUGCAGUUGAUACUGGGUGUCUUGAGUACAGUAGAGGCAGGCGGAAUUCGUGGUGUAGCGGUGAAAUGCUUAGAUAUCACGAAGAACUCCGAUUG
rnacentral:rRNA from 1 species